ensembl:misc_RNA 7SK 7SK RNA
GGGUGGGAGGGCAACCUGCCUGCGACAUGUGUCACCCCGCUGAUCGCCAGUGUUGAUUCAGCUGAUCUGGCUGGCUAGGCAAGUGCCCCUUCCACCCUCGCCACGGCUCCUUGUGCAUCCCUCCCGAAGGCGCACACUGGGUCCUCUGGGAUGACCUUCCCCAAUAGAGGAGGACCGUUCUUCAGUCAAGGGUAUGCGACUAGCUGUGCUCCCCUGCUAGGACCUCCAGACGAGCUCUCAGGGUCCAUUUGUAGGAGAACGUAGGGUAAUCAAACUUCCAAGACUCCAGACACUUCCAAAUGAGGUGCUGCCUGUGCCAGUCUGCCUUACUUU